CCAAUUAAUACUUCAUCUUCCUUUUACUAAAAAAGUUAAAGUGAUCUGCUUGACUUAUAAACUUUCACGUUUACACUUGUACUUCCAUAUAUAUUUAUUUUUUACGUGAAUAUUAUGUGUCAGCUAAUCAAGCCAAAGCCAGAUACAGAGGCAUUAAACAUAUCUAAGUCUGACCCAUACACACAUAUGACAGUGAAUUUUAAUGGGACUUUUAUGCCUACUAGACACAGUCGUCAGACCGUCGUAUCUUAUUGACCGAAGUUUUCAUUCAGGGCUACGCACGCGUUGAACAGAUUAUCCGUCUGGCAUAACCGCGCUGGAACAACUGACAAUUGUUAUCGAAAAACGAAAAUAUUUAUGAAAUAUCUACCUAUUGCAAAAGUAAAGAGUAUUUCAUAACAGCGAGUGAGUAAAGUCGUUUAUUGGGGCCGUUUUGGGCUCUAAAAACGGUGAGGUUUCCCUCUGUGUCCAUGACUUCCGUGACUCUUCAUGUGAGGCGUACAGUCAAUGACAGGAACACACGUCAGAACUUAAGCGAACCAUCAAAAUGCGGAGCGGCCGGAUAUUCAAGUCAACGUGACAUCUGUGUGUAUCGAUUACAUCCAGCGGUAUAUUUCGUAUGACUCGAUCUUUGCCAAACCGUGGAGAAGGGCUUUUGGCAAACGAGUAAUGUCGUCGAGCUGUACCGCCAUUACUUCAGAUAGUUUCGACGAGCUCUUUCAGACCAAAUCAAAAAGUACUUGGAGCAAACUACUUUCCUGUUGUUGCUGGUUUCCUCAAAGACGCAAAAAUGUUCGAGUAGUUCCUAUAUUGAAGACACCUAAACUGAGACAAGUCAUUGUAAGUGAAAAUGUAUCUCGCCAAGACAAGGUUCAAAUCCGGAUGUCCCUCGUGGAGGAGCGAUCAUUAACGCCAAUCACAACAGACACAGCCUAUGCAAAACCGCCAAUUCAUAAAAGGCGAAAACUGAUUGCUGCGGCUCACGAGUUCAGUGAGCUCAUGACUUUUAAUAGGAUUGAAGUUGAUACCGAGCCAAUCAUUACCUCGAAAAGCAAACGGAAUGCGGUAAGGUUUCAGCUUUGCCGUCUCCGAAAGUCUGCCGGCGAAAGACGGCGUCACGAACAGGAACUUAGUAAUCGUUUGGCUGCACUAGAGCUUCGACUUCGUGAUAUCGACGACGAGGUCAUUUCCUCGUCGGAGUCAAAUCGACGACCCGAUGAAAGGAAAUUUGGCGCGCGUGCAGAUCAUAAAGUGCCAAGAAUGGCUACUCGUGAAAUAGAACGUAGAUCACUGAGAAAACCGAAAGAAAUCUGUGCAAUAGAUCGCUCGACUAAAAGCUGAAAAUCGAACCGGGAGCUGAAAGUUGAGAAUUUCAAUGUAUUGCAAAAGGAUGGUAUUGAAGCAUCACGAGCGCCGCCGAAAAUCAAUGCCAUAUUGGACAUGUGAUGAUUGCGAUUCGCGAUCCAAGAUUCAGAAGCACUCCUUUAGGAAGAGUCGAGUAGAUGGAAUACAGGUACCCUAAGGCACUCAAGUACAGCAAACCUUCAAGGAGCCGGUUGGCAUCACGACCUAGAACAUCCACGGGGAUACCUGGCAUUACCCAUAAAUUAGUCCUGGUUAAAAAAAAACUGCAGUAAGAAGUCGCUUACGGUAUACGCUAUGUCGUAUCUAUUAUUGCUUAGUUCAUGUGGAAGACUAAUGCUUUAACCAGUUAAUAUGGCUUUCUAAGAUAUGUACUCAUCUAAGUCUUCUCCUAAAAAUCGAUUAAGCAGGCAACAGAUUUCGUAGGAAAAUUACAUAAUGAAAAAUACAAAAUUCGAACAGAUGUAGACAGUAUAAACGCGCGGUUUCUUAUGCGUGCUUUUCCCAACUAACGAACUAUUAAUUUCUAUUGUUAGCUGGACGAGUGUAGGCAACUUUGUCCAUUCUAUUAACAUAAACAUGUACACAAUUCUUUAUAGAUACGGCAAGCGUAUACGAGAGUUAAAUUGAUUCAAGGAAAAUAUAUGUUACUAUUGUACUAUGCAUGUGCUGUUUGAAUGAAGUUAGCAUUUCAAUUAAAGUACUCACUAAAAAUACAGAUGAGUGCUUGUAGUAGAAGCGUUUAUCUAAAGGUUUUCGUCGACAAAGGAUGAAAAUCGUAUUAUUCUACACACUGAUGACUAGUUAUGAAUAUAUCAUAGUUCAAUAUCUGAACAUCGACUCAGAGCAGACUUUGUUGCAGACAGCGUAUAAGAAGUUCUACAGA